AUUGAACGCUGGCGGCAGGCCUAACACAUGCAAGUCGAGCGGAUGAAGGGGGCUUGCUCCUGGAUUCAGCGGCGGACGGGUGAGUAAUGCCUAGGAAUCUGCCUGGUAGUGGGGGAUAACGUCCGGAAACGGGCGCUAAUACCGCAUACGUCCUGAGGGAGAAAGUGGGGGAUCUUCGGACCUCACGCUAUCAGAUGAGCCUAGGUCGGAUUAGCUAGUUGGUGGGGUAAAGGCCUACCAAGGCGACGAUCCGUAACUGGUCUGAGAGGAUGAUCAGUCACACUGGAACUGAGACACGGUCCAGACUCCUACGGGAGGCAGCAGUGGGGAAUAUUGGGCAAUGGGCGAAAGCCUGAUCCAGCCAUGCCGCGUGUGUGAAGAAGGUCUUCGGAUUGUAAAGCACUUUUAGUUGGGAGGAAGGGCAGUAAGUUAAUAUCUUGCUGUUUUGACGUUACCAACAGAAUAAGCACCGGCUAACUUCGUG
rnacentral:rRNA from 1 species